GUGUCAGCCGCCGCGGUAAUACGUAGGGUGCAAGCGUUAAUCGGAAUUACUGGGCGUAAAGCGUGCGCAGGCGGCUUUGCAAGACAGAUGUGAAAUCCCCGGGCUCAACCUGGGAACUGCAUUUGUGACUGCAUGGCUAGAGUACGGUAGAGGGGGAUGGAAUUCCGCGUGUAGCAGUGAAAUGCGUAGGUAUGCGGAGGAACACCGAUGGCGAAGGCAAUCCCCUGGACCUGUACUGACGCUCAUGCACGAAGGCGUGGGGAGCAAACAGGAUUAGAUACCCCUGUAGUCC
rnacentral:rRNA from 1 species